GGGUGUCAUCAUUGCCGAAGAUGACCACUGGACAACGUGGUUCGCCGUCGUAUCCACCAGGAUUAUCGCCCAAACUUGUCAAGAGGGCUCCACCACCAUCGAAGAGCAUACUGAGCAUCGAGGAUCGCCGCUGUAGCGACGAGAUUGUCGGCACGGAGGGCUUCACCACCACCAAAGAGGACGCUGGAGCAUCGAUAUCGUACCGUGGAUGUUUCAGGUACAUCAUUUACUCGUUUAAUUGUGUAUUCAUGUUUUUGUUUUGUAAUUAGAAGGGUUCCAUCACUAGACAACGAGGUUCGCCGUCGGAGCUAAAAGGAUCGUCGCCCAAUAUUGUCAAGUAUUUCAUUGAAAGUUUUACGUCUUACACCAUUAAUUUAUUUUGUUUUUUAUGUGUUUACGAGGGCGCCAUCGUCGCCGAAGAGGAACAUUGGGCAGCGUGGUUCGCCGUGGGAGUCACCGGUAUUGUCACACAAAAUCGUCAGGAGGCCCGCAUCACCAUCUGAGAGGAUGCUGGACAUCGAGGAUCGCCGGUGGAGCAACGAGAUUGUCGCAAUGGAUGUUUCAGGUAUAUUUCUUUACAUGUUUAUUUGCCUAACCAUGUUUUUUUUAUGUAUUUAGGAGGGAUCCGUCGUCGCUGAAUAGGACUACCGGACGUCGUGGAGUGUCGUUGGAGCAACGGAAAUCGCCGCCUAUUCCGUCGGACACGCCCAUUAGGUCGAUGGGGGGAAAAAAAUAGCAAGAAUGAACAACCCGCUGAACAAGAAACCGGUUCGAGCGAUACGGGUUUGUGGGGCUGAUUGGUCUCAGUUUUACUCAACGAAAUGGAUGUGUUGCAACGCUGUCUCAAACGUCUGCACAGGAGUCCUUACCUCAGUUUUUUCUGAGUGCAGAAAGUUAUUCAAACCAAGGAUACAGAAUAUAAAAGACUUGAAGCGAACGGGAAGAUAUAGCAGAAUUAAACACAAUUCACGAGGACUGGCCGCAGGGUUAAAAUGGUACUGAGGUAUAGUUCAGCAUGCGACUAUACAAUACUAAUAUGUAAAGCCUUGACCACAGAAAACAACGGAAUCUUAGAAAUCCUCCUUGAUCGCGGAAUUCAGACCAGAAUCGUGAGUUGCAUUGCAUUUAAUUCAUUUCACUUAAAAAAAAAAAUAAGCUCAGUAGCUGGUUUACCUGCAAACGAUAUUCAUUAAUGUAGAUCAUCGCGGCAAAAGAUGGUGUAGUGAUUCAGAGAAUUUUCAUACGCCCAUGUAGUUUUCGUCUACAAGUUGGAUAUGUUCUUUUUUUUUGUGUACAAACUGGCUAGAAUGACAAAGCUGUUAAAUGAACUAGUAAUUUGUAUAUUGGAAAGUGGGGCAUACUAUGCUGCAUUUAAAAUUAAUGCUCAGCGAAGAAAGAUAUUAGGGAAAGAUUAUUAAGAA